GGCUUCGCGCCUGCAUGCCUGGGCUGAACGGAGACCCGGAUGGCGUCACCCUUACGCGCCUGGGCUGAACGCAGACCCGGAUGGCGUCACCCUUACGCGCCUGGGCUGAACGCAGACCCGGAUGGCGUCACCCUUACGCGCCUGCGCUGAACGCAGACCCGGAUGGCGUCACCCUUACGCGCCUGGGCUGAACGGAGACCCGGAUGGCGUCACCCCUACGCGCCUGGGCUGAACGCAGACCCGGAUGGCGUCACCCUUACGCGCCUGGGCUGAACGCAGACCCGGAUGGCGUCGCCCCUACACGCCUGGGCCGAACGGCAUAGGCCUCCUGCUCCCAGGCUGCACCUGCACAGCGUGUGACUGCACUGAAGACUGUAGAAAACUGUAACACAGGGUAUGGAAGCCACAGCAAUGAACAAGACACAAUCCUGGACCCCAUGAGCUCACAGUGAGUGACAGCAGCCACUACAGUGUUAACGAAAGUUUAAUUCGGAGGCCAAUGGGCUGGGAUGGCCCCAGCACUUUUAGUUCCUAUGAACAACUUAUGAAAUUUUCUGUCUCACCUCUGAAGCCCUAGAGAAGUGCUACACUGCUUGCAGUCUGGUGCUGCCCAAUUUAUGAACUGCUGUCUGUUCAAAUAAACUCCACAGAAUUUUAAUGUGCCUAAGUUGAUCUUUUAACAACAGAAAUGCCCAAACCUCAGGAAAACAAGGAUGGCUCACCCUAGAUAGCCAAGCAGGGCAUGAGACGACGUCCUGUGCAUGGGAGUCACCUAGCUGGUGAGUGAGCAGCUGGAUGUAGACCGUGCAUGCCAGAUUUUGUUUAAGGCUCUCCCAUGUGGGUGUGCAGCACAUGCACUGAUAUGAGCCACAUGGCCUCUUCCUGCCUGCAAAGCUUCCACUUGACACAUUUGCUGGCACUGAGCCAUCCUUGCAUUCCUGAGAUAAACCUUACAUGAUUGAGAGCCAUCACUGUGUUAAAAGUAUGGGCACAUGCAUAUUUAUUAGGUAUACAUAGGCAUACUUCUGUACCUGUAAAUGUCUAAUGUCUUAUUUAAUAUUUUCCAUCUGUUCCCAGCAGUCAAUCUGACCUAUAAUUUUCUUUUCUUAUUCUGUCCUUGGCCUGUUUUGUUACCAAGAAUAUAUCAUUCUCAUGUUAGCCAAGUAGCUUUCCCCUCUUUUGUAUUCCCUGGCACAUACUCACUCACUCUUUCUCUCUCUCUCUCUCAAGGAAAGAGAGAUCUAGUUAUUUAAAAUUAUGGAUUUAUUUACUGGUAGUAAGUUUAUUUGCAUUCUCACUGAAUUGUUCAAUUUUAUUUUUUAGACAAAUUGUCCUUUUUAUCUAGC
rnacentral:lncRNA from 1 species